rnacentral:rRNA from 1 species
AAAAACAUGGCCUUUUGAUUUUUAUUUAAGGUCUAGCCUGCUCAAUGAAUUUUAAAUAGCCGCAGUAUUUUAACUGUGCAAAGGUAGCAUAAUCAUUAGUUUCUUAAUUGGAAGCUGGAAUGAAGGGUUGAAUGAAAAAAUAGCUGUCUCUAUAAAAAUUUUAUAGAAAUUUAUUUUUAAGUAAAAAAGCUUAAAUUUAGAUAAAAGACGAGAAGACCCUAUAGAGUUUUAUAUUUAUUAAUAAUAUUUCUUUUGGUAUUUUAAAAUAUAUUUUUAUAUAGUAUUUAAUUGGGGUGAUUAGAAAAUUAAUAAAACUUUUCUUUUUAAAGUACAUUUAUUUAUGAGUGUAUGAUCCUUUAUUUGGAUUAUAAGAUUAAAUUACCUUAGGGAUAACGAGCGUAAUUUUUUUUGAGAGUUCUUAUCGAAAGAAAAGAUUGCGACCUCGAUGUUGGAUUAAAAUAAAUUUUUGGUGUAGAAGCUAAAUUAAUUAGGUCUGUUCGACCUUUAAAAUUUUACUUGAUCUGAGUU